rfam:Camelus ferus unplaced genomic scaffold scaffold1279, whole genome shotgun sequence.
GAGGGUACAGCUCAAGUGGUAGAGUGCAUGCUUAGCAAGCAGGAGAUCCUGGAUUCAAUCCCCAGUACCUCCU